rnacentral:rRNA from 1 species
UCAAGUUAUUAAGGGUGCAGGGCGGAUGCCUUGGCACUAGGAGCCGAUGAAGGACGUGAUAAGCUGCGAUAAGCUUCGGGGAGUUGCACGUAAACUUUGAUCCGAAGAUUUCCGAAUGAGGAAACUCACUUAGAGUAAUGUCUAAGUAUCAUUAAGUGAAUACAUAGCUUAAUGAGGGGAACUCAGGGAACUGAAACAUCUAAGUACCUGAAGGAAGAGAAAGAAAUUCGAUUCCGUAAGUAGCGGCGAGCGAACGCGGAUUAGCCCAAACCAAUAAAGUUUUCUUUGUUGGGGUUGCGGACAUAUCAUAACGAAGAGGUAUCGUAAUUGAAGAGGUUUGGAAAGACCCACCACAGAAGGUAAUAGUCCUGUAUGUUAAACGAGAAGACUUCAGAUAUGAUCCAGAGUACCACGGGACACGUGAAACCCUGUGGGAAGCAGGAGGGACCACCCUCCAAGGCUAAAUACUACCUAGUGACCGAUAGCGUAUAGUACCGUGAGGGAAAGGUGAAAAGAACCCCGGGAGGGGAGUGAAAUAGAACCUGAAACCCUGCACUUACAAGCUGUGGAAGCACAUUUCUUGUGUGACCGCGUACUUUUUGUAGAACGGGCCAACGAGUUACGUUAAGUAGCAAGGUUAAGCACUUAAGGUGCGGAGCCGUAGCGAAAGCGAGUUUUAACUGAGCGUUCAGUUACUUGACGUAGACCCGAAACCGGGCGACCUACCCAUGAGCAGGAUGAAGCGAAAGUAAAAUUUCGUGGAGGUCCGAACCCACGAGCGUUGAAAAGCUCGGGGAUGACUUGUGGGUAGCGGUGAAAUUCCAAUCGAGCCCGGAGAUAGCUGGUUCUCCCCGAAAUAGCUUUAGGGCUAGCCUCAAGGUGAGAGAUACGGAGGUAGAGCACUGAAUGUCCUAGGGGGUAUUGCACCUACCGAAGACUAUCAAACUCCGAAUGCCGUCAUCUUAUACUUGGGAGUCAGACUGUGGGUGAUAAGAUUCAUAGUCGAAAGGGCAACAGCCCAGAUCGUCAGCUAAGGUCCCUAAAUGUAAGUUAAGUGGUAAAGGAUGUGGGAUUGCACAGACAACCAGGAUGUUGGCUUAGAAGCAGCCACUCAUUCAAAGAGUGCGUAAUAGCUCACUGGUCGAGUGAUCCUGCGCCGAAGAUUUCCGGGGCUAAAACUUACUACCGAAGCUACGGCAUCAUUAUGAUGGGUAGGGGAGCUUCCCAUACGGGUUGAAGCAUGACCGUAAGGACAUGUGGACAGUAUGGGAGUGAGAAUGUUGGCAUGAGUAGCGAGAUGUGGGUGAGAAUCCCACAGGCCGUAAACCCAAGGUUUCCAGGGGAAGGUUCGUCCGCCCUGGGUUAGUCGGGACCUAAGCUGAGGCCGAAAGGCGUAGGUGAUGGACAACAGGUUGAUAUUCCUGUACUACCGAUAACCGUUUGAGAGAAGGGAUGACACAGUAGGAUAAGCUAAGCACACUGUUGGUUAUGUGUGCCCAAGCAUUGAGGCAGUCAAAGCAGGCAAAUCCGAUUUGAUAAUGCUGGGAUGUGAUGGGGAGCGAAAUUUAGUAGCGAAGUAGCUGAUUUCACACUGUCAAGAAAAGUCUCUAUCGAGGUUAAAGGUACCCGUACCGCAAACCGACACAGGUGGGUGAGGAGAGUAUCCUAAGGCCAGCGAGAGAACUGUUGUUAAGGAACUCGGCAAAAUGACCCCGUAACUUAGGGAUAAGGGGUGCCACCAUCCGGUGGCCGCAGAGAAUAGGCCCAAGCGACUGUUUACCAAAAACAUAGGUUUCUGCUAAGUCGCAAGACGAUGUAUAGGAGCUGACGCCUGCCCGGUGCUGGAAGGUUAAGGGGAUCUGUUAGAGCAAUCGAAGCAGUGAACUUAAGCCCCAGUAAACGGCGGCCGUAACUAUAACGGUCCUAAGGUAGCGAAAUUCCUUGUCGGGUAAGUUCCGACCCGCACGAAAGGCGUAACGAUUUGGGCACUGUCUCAACAACAGACUCGGUGAAAUUGUAAUUCCGGUGAAGAUGCCGGAUACCUGCGACAGGACGGAAAGACCCCAUGGAGCUUUACUGUAGCUUGACAUUGGGUCUUGGUACUACAUGUACAGGAUAGGUGGGAGGCUUUGAAACCAGGACGCCAGUUUUGGCGGAGCCAUCCUUGGGAUACCACCCUUGUAGUACUGGGACUCUAACCAUAGGCCAUGAAUCUGGUCUUGGGACACUGUCAGGUGGGCAGUUUGACUGGGGCGGUCGCCUCCCAAAAGGUAACGGAGGCGCUCAAAGGUUCUCUCAGUACGGUCGGAAAUCGUACGUAGAGUGUAAAGGCAAAAGAGAGCUUGAUUGCAAGACAUACAGGUCGAGCAAGGAUGAAAAUCGGACUUAGUGAUCCGGUGGUUCUGCGUGGAAGGGCCAUCGCUCAACGGAUAAAAGCUACCCUGGGGAUAACAGGCUUAUCUCCCCCAAGAGUCCACAUCGACGGGGAGGUUUGGCACCUCGAUGUCGGCUCAUCACAUCCUGGGGCUGUAGUAGGUCCCAAGGGUUGGGCUGUUCGCCCAUUAAAGUGGUACGCGAGCUGGGUUCAGAACGUCGUGAGACAGUUCGGUCCCUAUCCGUCGCAGGCGUAGGAAAUUUGAGAAGACCUGUCCUUAGUACGAGAGGACCGGGAUGGACGUACCUCUGGUGUACCAGUUGUCCUGCCAAGGGCAUGGCUGGGUAGCUAUGUACGGAAUGGAUAAGCGCUGAAAGCAUCUAAGCGCGAAGCCAACUUCAAGAUAAGAUUUCCCACCGCAAGGGUAAGACCCCAGAAAGACUAUCUGGUUGAUAGGUCGAAGGUGUAAGUGCAGCAAUGUAUUUAGCUUAUCGAUACUAAUAGGUCGAGGACUUGACCAA